ACGGGUGAGUAAUGCCUAGGAAUCUGCCUGGUAGUGGGGGAUAACGCUCGGAAACGGACGCUAAUACCGCAUACGUCCUACGGGAGAAAGCAGGGGACCUUCGGGCCUUGCGCUAUCAGAUGAGCCUAGGUCGGAUUAGCUAGUUGGUGAGGUAAUGGCUCACCAAGGCGACGAUCCGUAACUGGUCUGAGAGGAUGAUCAGUCACACUGGAACUGAGACACGGUCCAGACUCCUACGGGAGGCAGCAGUGGGGAAUAUUGGACAAUGGGCGAAAGCCUGAUCCAGCCAUGCCGCGUGUGUGAAGAAGGUCUUCGGAUUGUAAAGCACUUUAAGUUGGGAGGAAGGGCAGUUACCUAAUACGUGAUUGUUUUGACGUUACCGACAGAAUAAGCACCGGCUAACUCUGUGCCAGCAGCCGCGGUAAUACAGAGGGUGCAAGCGUUAAUCGGAAUUACUGGGCGUAAAGCGCGCGUAGGUGGUUUGUUAAGUUGGAUGUGAAAUCCCCGGGCUCAACCUGGGAACUGCAUCCAAAACUGGCAAGCUAGAGUAUGGUAGAGGGUGGUGGAAUUUCCUGUGUAGC
rnacentral:rRNA from 1 species